rnacentral:rRNA from 1 species
UUGAACGCUGGCGGCAGGCCUAACACAUGCAAGUCGAACGGUAACAGGAAACAGCUUGCUGUUUCGCUGACGAGUGGCGGACGGGUGAGUAAUGUCUGGGAAACUGCCUGAUGGAGGGGGAUAACUACUGGAAACGGUAGCUAAUACCGCAUAACGUCGCAAGACCAAAGAGGGGGACCUUCGGGCCUCUUGCCAUCGGAUGUGCCCAGAUGGGAUUAGCUUGUUGGUGGGGUAACGGCUCACCAAGGCGACGAUCCCUAGCUGGUCUGAGAGGAUGACCAGCCACACUGGAACUGAGACACGGUCCAGACUCCUACGGGAGGCAGCAGUGGGGAAUAUUGCACAAUGGGCGCAAGCCUGAUGCAGCCAUGCCGCGUGUAUGAAGAAGGCCUUCGGGUUGUAAAGUACUUUCAGCGGGGAGGAAGGGAGUAAAGUUAAUACCUUUGCUCAUUGACGUUACCCGCAGAAGAAGCACCGGCUAACUCCGUGCCAGCAGCCGCGGUAAUACGGAGGGUGCAAGCGUUAAUCGGAAUUACUGGGCGUAAAGCGCACGCAGGCGGUUUGUUAAGUCAGAUGUGAAAUCCCCGGGCUCAACCUGGGAACUGCAUCUGAUACUGGCAAGCUUGAGUCUCGUAGAGGGGGGUAGAAUUCCAGGUGUAGCGGUGAAAUGCGUAGAGAUCUGGAGGAAUACCGGUGGCGAAGGCGGCCCCCUGGACGAAGACUGACGCUCAGGUGCGAAAGCGUGGGGAGCAAACAGGAUUAGAUACCCUGGUAGUCCACGCCGUAAACGAUGUCGACUUGGAGGUUGUGCCCUUGAGGCGUGGCUUCCGGAGCUAACGCGUUAAGUCGACCGCCUGGGGAGUACGGCCGCAAGGUUAAAACUCAAAUGAAUUGACGGGGGCCCGCACAAGCGGUGGGGCAUGUGGUUUAAUUCGAUGCAACGCGAAGAACCUUACCUGGUCUUGACAUCCACGGAAGUUUUCAGAGAUGAGAAUGUGCCUUCGGGAACCGUGAGACAGGUGCUGCAUGGCUGUCGUCAGCUCGUGUUGUGAAAUGUUGGGUUAAGUCCCGCAACGAGCGCAACCCUUAUCCUUUGUUGCCAGCGGUCCGGCCGGGAACUCAAAGGAGACUGCCAGUGAUAAACUGGAGGAAGGUGGGGAUGACGUCAAGUCAUCAUGGCCCUUACGACCAGGGCUACACACGUGCUACAAUGGCGCAUACAAAGAGAAGCGACCUCGCGAGAGCAAGCGGACCUCAUAAAGUGCGUCGUAGUCCGGAUUGGAGUCUGCAACUCGACUCCAUGAAGUCGGAAUCGCUAGUAAUCGUGGAUCAGAAUGCCACGGUGAAUACGUUCCCGGGCCUUGUACACACCGCCCGUCACACCAUGGGAGUGGGUUGCAAAAGAAGUAGGUAGCUUAACCUUCGGGAGGGCGCUUACCACUUUGUGAUUCAUGACUGGGGUG